rnacentral:rRNA from 1 species
GAGGAAUAUUGGUCAAUGGGCGAGAGCCUGAACCAGCCAAGUCGCGUGAAGGAAGAAGGUAUUAUGUAUUGUAAACUUCUUUUAUACGGGAAUAAAGAGGGUGUUGCGACAUCCGUUGCAUGUACCGUAUGAAUAAGCAUCGGCUAACUCCGUGCCAGCAGCCGCGGUAAUACGGAGGAUGCGAGCGUUAUCCGGAUUUAUUGGGUUUAAAGGGUGCGUAGGCGGUUUGUUAAGUCAGUGGUGAAAGUUUGCGGCUCAACCGUAAAAUUGCCAUUGAAACUGGCAGACUUGAGUACAGUAGAGGUAGGCGGAAUUCGUGGUGUAGCGGUGAAAUGCAUAGAUAUCACGAAGAACUCCAAUUGCGAAGGCAGCUUACUGGAGUGUAACUGACGCUGAGGCACGAAAGUGUGGGGAUCAAAC